UACGGAGGGUGCAAGCGUUACUCGGAAUUACUGGGCGUAAAGCGCACGCAGGUGGCUGAGUCAGUCGGUUGUGAAAGCCCUGGGCUUAACCUGGGAAUUGCAGUCGAUACUACUCAGCUAGAGUAUGGGAGAGGGCAGUGGAAUUCCCGGUGUAGCGGUGAAAUGCGUAGAUAUCGGGAGGAACAUCAGUGGCGAAGGCGGCUGCCUGGCCCAAUACUGACACUCAGGUGCGACAGCGUGGGGAGCAAACAGG
rnacentral:rRNA from 1 species